GACGUAGGGCGCGAGCGUUGUCCGGAUUUAUUGGGCGUAAAGAGCUCGUAGGCGGCUUGUCGCGUCGACUGUGAAAACCCGCGGCUCAACUGCGGGCCUGCAGCCGAUACUGGCGGGCUAGAGUGCGGUAGAGGAGAGUGGAAUUCCCGGUGUAGCAGUGAAAUGCGCAGAUAUAGGAAGAACACCUAUGGCGAAGGCAGCUCUCUGGGACGGUACUGACGCUGAGACGCGAAAGCGUGGGGAGCGAACAGG
rnacentral:rRNA from 1 species